UACGAGAGGCCCAAACGUUAUUCGGAUUUACUGGACUUAAAGAGUUUGUAGGCGGUUCGGUAAGUGAGAUGUGAAAUCCCUCGGCUCAACCGAGGAAUUGCGUUUCAAACUGCCGGGCUCGAGGGAGAUAGAGGUGAGCGGAACUGAUGGUGGAGCGGUGAAAUGCGUUGAUAUCAUCAGGAACACCAGAGGCGAAGGCGGCUCACUGGGUCUCUUCUGACGCUGAGAAACGAAAGCUAGGGGAGCAAACGGG
rnacentral:rRNA from 1 species